GACGAACGCUGGCGGCGUGCUUAACACAUGCAAGUCGAACGGAAAGGCCCUUCUUUUUUGGGUUGCUGUGGUGGCGAGGGGUUGGGUAGCCCAUGAUUAGCCUACCCUUGCCUUUGGUUUACCUUAAGCAAAUUGGGGUUAUUCCCGUAUGGGAGCUCCUGCUUCUGUGGGGGGGUGGGACUGUUUCGGCGGUUGGGGAUGGCCUCGCGGGUUUUCAGUUUGUUGUGGGGGUAGUGGCUUACAAAGGCUUGGACGGGUAGCCGGCCUGAGAGGGUGACCGGCCACAUUGGGACUGAGAUACGGCCCAGACUCGUACGGGAGGCAGCAGUGGGGAAUAUUGCAAAAUGGGCGGAAGGCGGAUGCAGCAACGCCGCGUGCGGGAUGACGGCCUUCGGGUUGUAAACCGCUUUCGCCUGCGACGAAGCGGGAGUGACGGUAAUGGGUAAAGAAGCACCGGCUAACUACGUG
rnacentral:rRNA from 1 species